CCUUACCUAUUUCACCAAAUUCCCAAUCUCAUAACCUAGCUCUUCUCUUCUCCACGCAAAUCCCUACCUAUUUCCCCAAAUUCCCAAUCUCAUAGCCUUACCUACCUCUUCUCUUCUCCACGCAAAUCCCUCCCUGUUUCCCCAAAUUCCCAAUUUCUUCUCCACGCAAAUCCCUGGCGAUUACCUCAAUAGGUUAUAUGUUUGUCAACCAUAUGCCAAUUUUUGUCAUGACCAAGUUUUGUGCACGGUUUUCCUGAUCUGCUUUGUUUUGUUGAUUAUUUGUUGAAGGUUGAUGGUCUUGUUGGCAAAAAUCAUCUCUUUAAGCGUAGCAUUAUUCUGAUCAAAGCUUGGUGUUAUUAUGAAAGUAGAAUUCUUGGUGCUCAUUAUGGUUUGAUUUCAACUUACGCUUUAGAAACGUUGGUCCUCUGUAUCUUCCAUCUAUUUCAUUCUUCUUUAGAUGGCCCUUUGGCGGGAAGUAGUUGUGGGAAUCAACAUGGCCAAAUCUGUGCUAUGCAGAAUCUUAAAUUAGUUAAUGUUUUUUUCUUCUGUAUAGGUCCUCUAUCAAUUUUUGGAUUACUUCAGCAAAUUUGAUUGGGAGAAUUAUUGUGUUAGUUUAAAUGGCCUAGUUUGCAAAUCUUCCCUAGAUGUAGCAGCCAAAGAAGUACCUGAAAGCUGGAUGGACAAUUUAUUGCUAGGUGAAGAAUUUCUGCAAGAAUGUGCUGACAAGUUCUCUGUUCGAUCAAGGGGGCCUGAGACAAACACUCGAGCAUUUCCUCAAAAGCAUCUUAAUAUAAUAGAUGCUUUAAAAGAAAACAAUAAUCUUGGGCGGAGUGUCAACAGAGGUAGGGGAGUGUUUCAUUCUGCUGAAAUGGGUUUGAACUAACAUGUUUCUACGUUUUCUGUGCUUAAUGUUUUGAGGUAACUGUUCUAUCAAUAUUUGAGGUAGAAUCUCAUUUACGAUCUUGAUUUUUUAAAACAUAUUCAUUUUAAUGAAAAAAAAAAAAAAAAAAGAAUCUUAUUCAGCAAACUUCUUGUAAUGAAUUUGGUAAGUUUUUUAAUUAAGUGGAACUUUGAAGUUGGGCAACACUAGAUUCUAUUAUAUUUUCUGCUCUGGCAAUAGCAAAGGCCAGUAAAAGCAGAAAGUUUUAGGUGAAAGGAUUGGUUUCCUUCAUUCGCUUUGUUUGCAUUCCAUGACUAUCAUGGUAUUACUAACUCCAUUUCUAUAGUAUCAACCAAAGAAAUAGCUGCCAGUGGCAGAACUACUUCUGCAGCACGCAGUACUUCCAUUAACAAAUGCAAUUUUUUCUGCUGUAACCUACAUUACCCUUAUUUUUUGGCUUCUCGAAUGUUAGUUGAAAAUCACAGCACUGUUUUCACUAUAGUACCUUUAUUUUUUCAUUUGAUAUAAUUGUAGAGUCACCAUUUUAUUACAUCACAUGCUUUAGUACCUUUCUUCUGAUUGUUAUUAAGUGUAUACUAUAUUGGCUCCUUCAUCUCAUAAAGUGCUUUAGAGUACACAAUCAUGUGUACCUUGCUUCUUGUUUUUCUCUUCUCGUCUGCUGUUGUGAUGGACUCUGCAGGUAAUUUCUAUAAAAUAUGCAGUGCUUUUAAAUACGGAGCUCGUAAGCCGGGCCAAAUUCUAUUGUUGCCACAUGAAAGAUUAGUGGAUGAACUCAACAAGUUCUUUGCAAACACUUUGGAGAGACAUGUGAUAGUUAUGCACAGAUAGAUAGGUAGUGGGCUGAAAAUGUGGGUGCAUGCUGUUUUUUUUUUGUUAUGCACAUGUGAUAGUGCAUUUUGGAUUUUUAUUGCCCAUCAUGCAUAAAAAUCCAUGUAUGGACUAUAUAUAUAUGUAUGAAAAUAUGAUAUUUGAUGUUAAUGAUCAGAUUUUAUAUUGUGUCAAUUGAA